CCUACGGGUGGCAGCAGUGGGGAAUAUUGCACAAUGGGGGAAACCCUGAUGCAGCGACGCCGCGUGAGUGAAGAAGUAACUCGGGACGUAAAGCUCUAUCAGCAGGGAAGAAAAUGACGGUAACUGACGAAGAAGCACCGGCUAACGACGUGCCAGCAGCCGCGGGAAUACGUAGGGGGCAAGCGUUAUCCGGAUUUACUGGGUGUAAAGGGAGCGUAGACGGCUGCGCAAGUCUGGAGUUACAUCCCCGGACUCAACCCCGCGACUGCUGUGGAAACUGUGCAGCUGGAGUGCAGGAGUGGUAAGUGGAAUUCCUAGUGUAGCGGUGAAAUGCGUAGAUAUUAGGAGGAACACCGGUGGCGAAGGCGGCUUACUGGACUGUACCUGACGUUGAGGCUCGAAAGCGUGGGGAGCAAACAGGAUUAGAUACCCCUGUAGUC
rnacentral:rRNA from 1 species